GAUGAAGAACGUAGCGAAAUGCGAUAAGUAGUGUGAAUUGCAGAAUUCAGUGAAUCAUCGAAUCUUUGAACGCACAUUGCGCCCUUUGGUAUUCCUUAGGGCAUGCCUGUUCGAGCGUCAUUUAAACCUUCAAGCUAAGCUUGGUGUUGGGUGACUGUCCGCUUCACGGCGGACUCGCCUCAAAAUUAUUGGCGGCCGGUACAUUGGCUUCGAGCGCAGCAGAAACGCGAACUCGGGCCCGUCGUAUUGGCUCCCAGAAGCUAUCUUCACAAUUUUGACCUCGGAUCAGGUAGGGAUACCCGCUGAACUUAAGCAUAUCAAUAAGAGGA
rnacentral:misc_RNA from 1 species